UAAAGGAAUUGGCGGGGGAGCACCGCAACGGGAGGAGCGUGCGGUUUAAUUGGAUUCAACACCGGAAAACUCACCAGGGAAGACUGUUACAUGAAAGCCAGGCUAAUGACUUUGCUAGAUUUUCAGAGAGGUGGUGCAUGGCCGUCGUCAGUUCGUACCGUAAGGCGUUCUCUUAAGUGAGAUAACGAACGAGACCCUCACCAAUAGUUGCUACCGUAUCUUCCGAGGUGCGGGCACACUAUUGGGACCGCUGGCGCUAAGUCAGAGGAAGGAGAGGUCAACGGUAGGUCAGUAUGCCCCGAAUCUCCUGGGCUACACGCGCGCUACAAAGGGCGGGACAAUGGGUUCCUACACCGAAAGGUGACGGCAAUCCCGAAACCCGUCCGUAGUUCGGAUUGAGGGUUGUAACUCACCCUCAUGAAGCUGGAUUCCGUAGUAAUCGCGGAUCAACAAUCCGCGGUGAAUAUGCCCCUGCUCCUUGCACACACCGCCA
rnacentral:rRNA from 1 species